CUAUGUGUGUUCACACAGAGCUGCUUCAUGUGGUUUUAGCUGCAAAUGAUAAAAACUUUUAGCAAAGUUCCUCUUUAGAAGCUGAGCGUUUCUCACAUCAUCCUCCUUCAUCUGUCUUCUGUUAGAGGAGAUCACUCAGUACUGAACACUGGGAAGGAGGACUUCCAGAAUAUUCCAUAAACCAGAGCAGCUUUUAUUGACUCGGGUUUAAUACAUUUUACAUUCAGUAUAAAUGUCCUGACCCUAAAGUCCUGCAUCAGCAACAACAAGACCUGUUUAACAGCAGAGGAAACCUGAGUUCUGCUGUUGCUGCUAGUGAGGCUCAGCGUUUCUCCACCUGAUGUUUAUGAAGGCCACAGUCAGUGAUAAAAGUACCAGCUUAGUGGCCUAGUAAAAAUCUGCAACGCCUGCCUCCAGAGAGUGAAUGUGGUCCUGAGCACCAUCUGAGGAAAUUCAACAAACUCUGUUUCGUGCUAUUAUUGGUUCAACGUUUCUACAAAGAGACGUUCUGCCUACAGACUCUCAAAGACACUCUGCUAAAAGUUUCCUAUGUUAAACCACUUCCUUUGCUGUAGCCUGAGAAGUGAAUACAGAUGAAAACUGUCUGGUGAAGGUUUUCACACAUUCUCCUCUGAGGCGGAUCACUAACAGGACCCGCUGCAGUUUGAUCAGGCUAAAACAUCCAUGUUUGCUCUCAGAAAUAAUUCAGAACCAGUCUGAAAGCUGAGCAGACAUGGAGGCUGGACUGCUGCUGCUGCUGAUGAUGAUGAUGAUGAUGGGGGUCUUUCAGGCUGUAGAAACUUUCUGUGACGGCAGACAGGAUGGAGCUCAGUGUGUCGGAGCUUUAGGAGGAGCUGUGGACAUCCAGCUGGUGGACAACGCUGCAGAGAUACCCGGAUUAUACUGGAUAAAGGAUGGCCCGAUUAUAGUCCUGUGGAGAAGUAAAUAUAAUUCAACUAUCAUAAAGGACAACAGAUUCACUUUUAUUCCCAGUACUGGAACAGUUAGGAUCAAUAACCUGAUCAGGCAUGACAGUGGACAUUAUGAACUUGGGACCCUUGAUUCAAACGGACGUUUUACAGCAGAGAGGACUCUACUGUUGUCUGUUGAAGGUAAACAACUUUUUAGACCUUUUGAAGUAAAUCUUAAACUACAAAUCUGCACAUUUUCUUCUAUUUUAGUAAACCAGAUUAAAAAGCAACCAUCUUCCUAUAAUAAUAUUCAUUCAUCCCAUGAUUCUCUCAGCUGGUGUGUCGUCUGUCCAGCUGGUCUCUGAGUGUUGGUCCCAGGGACAGAUGCAGGUGUCCUGCUCCUCUGAGGAAGGGGACAGUCCUCAGUACAGUUGGACUCUGGAUGGAAAACACACUGACAGACUCUGAGCUCUUCUCUGGAAAUAAUCAGACUAACAUCAUCGUUCUGAGACAAAAUAUCUCGGGACGUCUGGUCUGUUCAGUCAGGAACCGAGUCAGUGAGUCCUCCAGAGAAAAGGACAUAUCUACCUGUGGUGAGUCACAGCAUCAUGGGGAAGAGUCUUGAUUUAUUUUAGACUGAUAAUUAUCAUUUUAUUUGCUCCCAGUCUUCAUUUUCAUUAAUAGCACUUCCAAUGGGACUCUCAUAUCUGAGUGGGUGUUUAGAGAAAAUAACACUCUGUGUGUAGAACCAACACCAGCCCCUACAGCAGUAACACACACUGGGGGUAAGGAGACAGAGUUAAAUUAUUCCUCCACUAUUAACUCGUCCUCCAAUCAAACUGACACUCAGGAUCUCCUUUGGUUCUUUAGGCCUCCUUCACCUUUACUCAUAUGUGGAUUACGAUUUCUCCUGGUUGUUCUCCUGCUCCUCAGCAUCUGUCUCUAUUUCACUUGGAGGAAAAAGAAAGAUGAAAAAGAGAAAAGUUCUGCAGACUCAGAGGAUCGAGACAACUCUGUGAUGAUGGUUGGAAUGAGUUCUGCUUCUUAAAAAGCAACAGUGUCUUUAUGGAUGUGAGAAAUGGUGAGGCCAACAUUUGUAGAACUAUUGAUUGUAAUUAACUUUUCUUUUUUCUUUUGCAAAAUUCAGCAAGUUUUAUGCAGAAAAUUUGAUGUGAUCCAGAAACACCUAAUAAAGGGUGGUUAGCCAAGCAGGACCUGCUUGUGGCUGUGUCCACGCUGUGUUUUAUCAGUGCUAACGUGUGUUUGCGAUGAGUAAAGAUUGUUCUGAGUUUAAAGAAGGACGUCUGCACAAAUGAGCUUUAAUUAAUGAGGCUCCAGCUAUUUUAUUUUUUCUAGCGUGAUAGAAGUGAAUGAUUUCACCUUAUUGUAGUUUAUUUUUUGCAUUUCUAUUUUUGCAUUUAUUUUUACUUUAAAACUAUUACUUGGGCAGCAGAAGCAUCGAUUUACAUGACUAUAAUAAUAAAAAAGGCUGAUUUGCUGCCAUGUUUAGUUUUGUAUCUUUAAGACAGGAACUGUAUCUUUUCGGUACAUAUUAAAAACCUGUCAGUGGUGACUC